UCUUGCGCAAUGGGGGAAACCCUGACGCAGCGACGCCGCGUGGACGAGGAAGGCCUUCGGGUUGUAAAGUCCUGUUCUGGGGGAAGAAACCCCGCCUCGUGAGGCGGACUGACGGUACCGUAAGAAUAAGGACCGGCUAACUCCGUGCCAGCAGCCGCGGUAAUACGGAGGGUCCAAGCGUUAUCCGGAAUCAUUGGGUUUAAAGGGUCCGUAGGCGGGCCUGUAAGUCAGUGGUGAAAUCUCCCGGCUCAACCGGGAAAUUGCCAUUGAUACUGCAGGUCUUGAAUUAUUGGGAAGUAACUAGAAUAUGUAGUGUAGCGGUGAAAUGCUUAGAGAUUACAUGGAAUACCGAUUGCGAAGGCAGGUUACUACCAAUACAUUGACGCUGAUGGACGAAAGCGUGGGUAGCGAACAGG
rnacentral:rRNA from 1 species